CUUCCUCUUUAACAAAGAUACGCCCUAAUCUGUCACAUUCAUGUUUGUAAGAAGAUUGAACUUUCUCCAUGCUUGCAAGCCACAAGGUUCUGGGACGCAAGCCACCGUGUGCUUGCUCACAGGCCACCGCGGGCCAUCGUGUCGCCGUCAAAGGACUUUAUGUCACCAUUUGCAAGCCUCCGGAUCACCGUUCGCCGGUCACGGCUUCCCCGCUUCUAGGCCUUUGUUUUAAGUAAGGUGCACCCAUAAAGUCUAGUUACAAAUCACUUGCUGAAUCUACUAUAAACAUUGAUAUUGGUCUCUCGGUCAAACUAUAAGGCCCCCAUGCUCUUCUAAAAACGGAGUCUGAACCAAUUCUGGGAAGGUUUUGAAGAUAGUCACUAUGUUAACAUUAAUUGUGUUGUUGAUGAUACCACCUCAACUCAUUAACUAUCAAGGCAUAUGGUGGAGAAGGAAAUUAAGUAGGGUGGUUGGUUUGUUGGCGAAUUGCUCUCAGUUCUACUACUUAUUAUAAUGGUGCCUCUCUUUCAUAUUUUUCAAAUUUCUUUGCAAUGUUAGUAUUGGAGUUUCCAUUUUUGUGUGAUUUUGAUUACUUAACUGAACUUCUCUAGAUCUCGUUCACACAGAAAGAAAAAUGAAAUAGGACAUGCUCCUUUCACUAAGUCAUAAAUUCUAUUUCAGAUACUUAUAAUGGAGACAUAAAUUAGAUACUGCAACCUCAAUCUCAUACAUAUGGUUCAAAUUCUCUGCAUAUGAACUUAUUCUAAUAGAUUUAUAAGAUGUUAUACGAGUAAAAAAUAUGAUAUCGAUAUGUUAAAUUAUUAAUAUACUAAUAUGUGUAAAUAAGUGAUGAAUGUAGUAAGUUAAGAUCUGUUUUCUUUUUUGGGUACGUUAAGGUUUCUUUGUCAAGCAUUACACAGAUGUUAUGCAUUUGUUUUUUCAUAUAAUAUAGAUACUUUUUCAGAUAAAGUUAGGUAUAAAUAGCGAUGGGGAAAUAGGUGGCUAGUUUGCUUUUUUAGUGCUGUGGCUGAACAACACGAAUGAGACUUUCAUUAUAAAUAUAUUUUUAUUAACCUUUGGUCCUAAAAUAAAUUCGUGUAAUGAAUUAUACCAUGUUCUUUUUUAUUUCCCAGUAUUAAAUCAAUAGUUUUAUUGUUCUUUCUCCUUUUCUCCUAAUAUAUUUUCGUUUUAUUGCCCUUGCUUUACAAAGCAGAUUAAAUCUUGAUUAACGAAUCAUGAUCACUACCACGCAAACUUUUUAACAAAAUACAAUGAAAUAAAGAAAUUAAUGCUUGGACAAAAUAAAAUAAAAGUUUAAUUGAGUCCUAUAUUCGUGAAUUACUGCCCAUUAUGGCAUAAUAAUUUUGACUCAAUUAUUUUACAAAAAAAAAAUCUUAGAUAUUGUAACAUUCCAAAAAUAUAGCUGUAAAUUAUAUUUUAGAGUUCUUACAUUUACAAUAAAAUAGAAUAGUUACAGGAAAAUAAAGCUAACUUACAGUUAUUUUAAAAUAACCAUAAAUUAAAAAUUUUACAAAAAUUUGUACUGAAACAAACCAUAUGAACAGAUCGAUUGGUUAUACAAGAGGUGUAUCAAUCGAACGGUCCUCUAUUGAAUACAAAAACAAGCAUAAGAUCAAACGGUCUUACUCUAACGGAAAUCAUCCUCUCUUGCUAGCGUAUGUUCUAGAGAACCCUCCUCACGUUCUACUCAUACCCACAGGAUGAUCAUUGCAAUGACAAAGACGACCGAACGAACAACAAGAUAAAACAGGAAAAAUAAGGGUAAGCUAGUGUAAUUUAAUUAACUAUGAUCAUAUAUAAUUCAGACAAACAUAAGAGUAAACAAAAACCAACAUGUAAAUCAUGCAACAACCAAACAUACAUUUCCAGUAAUGAUCGAACGUAUAAUUUAUACAAUGACCGACCACUUUUACUCUGACUUUUUGGACUGUAUGAAUUGUGUAGCUACGACGUUUUUGCACUCGGAUGGUGUAGUAGCUGGGAU